GAUGCCCUCCCUAAUCUCCCCCAAUCCUCACAUCUGCCAUCUCCUCCCCAACUGGAUCGCGCUACCCUCGCCGUCUACCUCCUCGGAUCGCACCACCCCCACCGCCCUUGUCGCGGAUCGCGCCGCCACCAUCGUCGCUCGCCCCCACCUCCCACCGCCAUGCAUCGCCCCGCCUCUAACCGCGGCGCAUCACCCGCCUCCCAGCGGGGACAUCAGGCCGGGUCCGGUGAUGGACCUCCCAGAUGCGUUGGGAUCAACCUCCUCUCGAGGUCCAACUCCAACUCCCUCCACUCGAGGCUCCCCGGCGCUAGCCCCCGUCGCGCAUUCGGCGACCCGACGA
rnacentral:lncRNA from 1 species